rnacentral:rRNA from 1 species
AUGCAAGUCGAACGGUCCUUAUGAUUAUCAUUUGGACAGUGGCAGACUGGUGAGUAACGCGUGGAUAAUCUGCCCCGAAGAUGAGGAUAGCUCGCCGAAAGGUGAGGUAAUCCUCAAUGGUGUGGGAAGUACAUAUGUACAUCCCACUAAAGCUUUAGCGCUUCGGGAUGAGUCUGCGUCCUAUCAGCUUGUUGGUAGAGUAAAGGUCUACCAAGGCUAAGACGGGUAACUGGUCUGAGAGGAUGGUCAGUCACAGUGGCACUGAAACACGGGCCACACUCCUACGGGAGGCAGCAAUCAGGAAUCUUGCACAAUGGAGGAAACUCUGAUGCAGCGACACCGCGUGAAGGAUGAAGACCCUCGGGUUGUAAACUUCUUUUAUAAUCUAACAAGUUCUGAGUGGAGUAUGAAUAAGCACCUGCUAACUGCGUGCCAGAAGCAUCAGUGAAGCGUGGGGUGCGAGCGUUAUCCGGAUUUAUUGGGCGUAAAGAGAUGCGUCGGCGUUUUGGUAAGCCUUCUGUCAAAGCCUUCGGCCUAACCGAAGAAAGGCAGAGGAUACUAUCAGAAUUGAGACAGAGAGGGGGAAGCGGAAUUCCCGGUGGAGCGGUGAAAUGCGUUGAUAUCGGGAGGAACACCAGUGGCGAAGGCAACUUCCUGGCUCUGUUCUGACGCUGAGGCUCGAAAGCGUGGAGAGCAAAGCGGAUUAGAUACCCGUGUAGUCCAUGCUGUAAACGUUGGAUACUGGACGUU